rnacentral:rRNA from 1 species
UUAAGUUAUUAAGGGCGCACGGUGGAUGCCUUGGCACUAGAAGCCGAUGAAGGACGUUACUAACGACGAUAUGCUUUGGGGAGCUGUAAGUAAGCUUUGAUCCAGAGAUUUCCGAAUGGGGAAACCCAGCAUGAGUUAUGUCAUGUUAUCGAUAUGUGAAUACAUAGCAUAUCAGAAGGCACACCCGGAGAACUGAAACAUCUUAGUACCCGGAGGAAGAGAAAGAAAAUUCGAUUCCCUUAGUAGCGGCGAGCGAAACGGGAAGAGCCCAAACCAACAAGCUUGCUUGUUGGGGUUGUAGGACACUCUAUACGGAGUUACAAAGGACGACAUUAGACGAAUCAUCUGGAAAGAUGAAUCAAAGAAGGUAAUAAUCCUGUAGUCGAAAAUGUUGUCUCUCUUGAGUGGAUCCUGAGUACGACGGAGCACGUGAAAUUCCGUCGGAAUCUGGGAGGACCAUCUCCUAAGGCUAAAUACUCUCUAGUGACCGAUAGUGAACCAGUACCGUGAGGGAAAGGUGAAAAGCACCCCGGAAGGGGAGUGAAAUAGAACCUGAAACCGUGUGCUUACAAGUAGUCAGAGCCCGUUAAUGGGUGAUGGCGUGCCUUUUGUAGAAUGAACCGGCGAGUUACGAUUUGAUGCAAGGUUAAGCAGUAAAUGUGGAGCCGUAGCGAAAGCGAGUCUGAAUAGGGCGUUUAGUAUUUGGUCGUAGACCCGAAACCAGGUGAUCUACCCUUGGUCAGGUUGAAGUUCAGGUAACACUGAAUGGAGGACCGAACCGACUUACGUUGAAAAGUGAGCGGAUGAACUGAGGGUAGCGGAGAAAUUCCAAUCGAACCUGGAGAUAGCUGGUUCUCUCCGAAAUAGCUUUAGGGCUAGCCUCAAGUGAUGAUUAUUGGAGGUAGAGCACUGUUUGGACGAGGGGCCCCUCUCGGGUUACCGAAUUCAGACAAACUCCGAAUGCCAAUUAAUUUAACUUGGGAGUCAGAACAUGGGUGAUAAGGUCCGUGUUCGAAAGGGAAACAGCCCAGACCACCAGCUAAGGUCCCAAAAUAUAUGUUAAGUGGAAAAGGAUGUGGCGUUGCCCAGACAACUAGGAUGUUGGCUUAGAAGCAGCCAUCAUUUAAAGAGUGCGUAAUAGCUCACUAGUCGAGUGACACUGCGCCGAAAAUGUACCGGGGCUAAACAUAUUACCGAAGCUGUGGAUUGUCCUUUGGACAAUGGUAGGAGAGCGUUCUAAGGGCGUUGAAGCAUGAUCGUAAGGACAUGUGGAGCGCUUAGAAGUGAGAAUGCCGGUGUGAGUAGCGAAAGACGGGUGAGAAUCCCGUCCACCGAUUGACUAAGGUUUCCAGAGGAAGGCUCGUCCGCUCUGGGUUAGUCGGGUCCUAAGCUGAGGCCGACAGGCGUAGGCGAUGGAUAACAGGUUGAUAUUCCUGUACCACCUAUAAUCGUUUUAAUCGAUGGGGGGACGCAGUAGGAUAGGCGAAGCGUGCGAUUGGAUUGCACGUCUAAGCAGUAAGGCUGAGUAUUAGGCAAAUCCGGUACUCGUUAAGGCUGAGCUGUGAUGGGGAGAAGACAUUGAGUCUUCGAGUCGUUGAUUUCACACUGCCGAGAAAAGCCUCUAGAUAGAAAAUAGGUGCCCGUACCGCAAACCGACACAGGUAGUCAAGAUGAGAAUUCUAAGGUGAGCGAGCGAACUCUCGUUAAGGAACUCGGCAAAAUGACCCCGUAACUUCGGGAGAAGGGGUGCUCUUUAGGGUUAACGCCCAGAAGAGCCGCAGUGAAUAGGCCCAAGCGACUGUUUAUCAAAAACACAGGUCUCUGCUAAACCGUAAGGUGAUGUAUAGGGGCUGACGCCUGCCCGGUGCUGGAAGGUUAAGAGGAGUGGUUAGCUUCUGCGAAGCUACGAAUCGAAGCCCCAGUAAACGGCGGCCGUAACUAUAACGGUCCUAAGGUAGCGAAAUUCCUUGUCGGGUAAGUUCCGACCCGCACGAAAGGCGUAACGAUUUGGGCACUGUCUCAACGAGAGACUCGGUGAAAUCAUAGUACCUGUGAAGAUGCAGGUUACCCGCGACAGGACGGAAAGACCCCGUGGAGCUUUACUGUAGCCUGAUAUUGAAAUUCGGCACAGCUUGUACAGGAUAGGUAGGAGCCUUUGAAACGUGAGCGCUAGCUUACGUGGAGGCGCUGGUGGGAUACUACCCUAGCUGUGUUGGCUUUCUAACCCGCACCACUUAUCGUGGUGGGAGACAGUGUCAAGCGGGCAGUUUGACUGGGGCGGUCGCCUCCUAAAAGGUAACGGAGGCGCUCAAAGGUUCCCUCAGAAUGGUUGGAAAUCAUUCAUAGAGUGUAAAGGCAUAAGGGAGCUUGACUGCGAGACCUACAAGUCGAGCAGGGUCGAAAGACGGACUUAGUGAUCCGGUGGUUCCGCAUGGAAGGGCCAUCGCUCAACGGAUAAAAGCUACCCCGGGGAUAACAGGCUUAUCUCCCCCAAGAGUUCACAUCGACGGGGAGGUUUGGCACCUCGAUGUCGGCUCAUCGCAUCCUGGGGCUGUAGUCGGUCCCAAGGGUUGGGCUGUUCGCCCAUUAAAGCGGUACGCGAGCUGGGUUCAGAACGUCGUGAGACAGUUCGGUCCCUAUCCGUCGUGGGCGUAGGAAAUUUGAGAGGAGCUGUCCUUAGUACGAGAGGACCGGGAUGGACAUACCUCUGGUGUACCAGUUGUCGUGCCAACGGCAUAGCUGGGUAGCUAUGUGUGGAUGGGAUAAGUGCUGAAAGCAUCUAAGCAUGAAGCCCCCCUCAAGAUGAGAUUUCCCAACUUCGGUUAUAAGAUCCCUCAAAGAUGAUGAGGUUAAUAGGUUCGAGGUAGAAGCAUGGUGACAUGUGGAGCUGACGAAUACUAAUCGAUCGAAGACUUAAUC